GUUAUUUUAUAUUUGUAUGAAAGACCAGUUUUGAAUGGUUUUUCCAUAUGAGAGGGGAAGAUUAGCAGUAGUUUUACUAUAUACAGUCCUUUUCACUUUCAUGAAUUUGUCAUACACCUUUCUGAUGCUUGAUUUUAUUUUCCUCCUAGCAAUAGUCUGCAUUUAGAAGCCGGGUGUGGUGGUGCAGGCCUGUACUCCCAACACUCAGGAGGCUGAGGCAGAAGGAUCUCAAGAGUUCAGAGCCAGACUGGGCUCCGUAGUGAGUUCAAGACUUGUCUGAAAUACAUGGUGAGAUCCUGCCUCAAAAAACAAAACCAAACAAAAAGUCUACAUUCAGCAAAAGUACCUGGAGCCUCCAGCUCAGAGCAGACAAGCACCUGGAAAAACAGGGAAGAAAAGUUUUCUGUGACAAGUUUUCUUUAGCUACUCACUCACCUCAGCUCACAAGACAAGGUUUUAUAACAAGUACCACACACCAGCACAGGCCAAACAGUUCUACUGGAGCGGUGGAAUCACCACGAUUGUUUUAUUUUUUUUCUUUCUUUCUUUCUUUAUUUUUGUUUUUUUGUUUUUUUAAGAUAGGGUCUCAGUAAGAAGUCCAGGCUGGCCUUCAACUCAUUAGGUAGCUCAAGCUGGCCUCCUGGAACUUCCAGUAAACUUACUGCCUCAGCCUCCUGGGCCUGUAAUUCUUGCUAGGAUUGUAGGCCUGAGCUACCACACUCAGCUUAGCCACUACUAUUAAAUUCCCAGAAAAAAAUUCUGGGAAUGCAAUUUCUCCUCUUAUUGUCACAAAAUAAAGGAAACAC
rnacentral:lncRNA from 1 species